CUUAUUCAGCACGCGGAAGAUAGCACGCAGAGAAAAUCACGCACAGGCGAGCACGAGACCGGGCCCACGUCCCAGCCUCUCUCGCUUAUGGAACACACGUAAGCACACGCACGCCGGCGGCCCGCGCGUCGGCGACGAUCUAGCCGAAGUGGUGGUGCUUCUUCUCGCCGCUGGCCUCCUUGGCCUCCUUGUGGUCCUGCUUCUUCUCGUGGUGCUCGUGGAAGACGAAGCCGCCGGCACCGACGGCCGCGGCGGCGGCCAGCUCCUCCUCGAUCUUGUGCUUGUGCGCGUGUUCCGGGUCCUUCUUCGCCUCGUGCUUCUCGUACUGCACGUGGACAAGCAGUUCAUUAGCCAAGCCCGGAAAGACAUGAACUACGUAUAUAUCUAUAUACGCGUAUGGGUAAAUAGUUACGAUGAGAGAGAGAGAGCGUACGAGGGCGAAGGCUCCGGCGGCGACGGCGCCCAUCUCGCCGAGGUGCUCCUUGUGCUUGUGGUGCUUCUCCUCCUUGGUGAUCCGCUCGUACUCGCCCUCGUUGCCGGUGCCGGUCACCACCGUCUCGGUCGAGUACCCGUACACGUCGGCGCCGCCAUCAGCGGCGGGCUGGAAGUCCUCGCCCUCCUUCUUGUGGUGGAACAGGUGGUGGUGGUGCUUCUCCUCCGCCAUGGCCGCCGGCUGAUCGAUUAACUAGCUUGUAUGUGUGCGUGUAUGUGACAGUGGGACAGCUUCUUAUCUGCUUGGUCUGUGUAGGCUUCCUACUGGCCGGGUUUUAUAGGCUGAGGCGACUGUUGGAAUGGACGGUGGAACUAACCGUUCCGUUCCACGGGUUAUGGAUACUGGAUCCAUCAAAUAUACAGUACGUAUGCAUACGAUUGUGAUCUGCUUUAUGUACGUGUCCCGGAGUCAUUGGAGGCUUGGAGCCCAAGCACUCAGGCAACCACAGGACAGGGGGCCACGUUCUGAUGGCCAACGGUGCAGCGCCCCACCACCUUCUUGGCACUUGGCAGAGUUGCAGCUUGGGGUAGCUUACAUGUGAGUAACAAAAGUUUAGAGAAGUGUCGGCAUGCACGGAUUGGCUGACGGUGAUGUGGCACCGCGCACGCCUUUCCCUGCUCCCCGCGUCCACUAUCCAGCAACCUUUACUCGUAUGUAAUUACGUGUGCGCAUUAUUACUUUUUCUUUUUUGAGAAGUACUCCGUAGUACUAUUUGUGAAAAGUAAAAACGAGAGAGAGGAUAAAAAUGAUGGAACCGUUGCUUUCAUUGAUGGAUUGGGAGUAUAUAUACCCCUGAUACAAGGCAGUUACAAAGAGGCAGUUGCUACUAGUAGCAACCGACAUAGCGGGGAUUAACCCUUUAAUUAAUCUAAUUAAUUUAUUUCUAACACUCCCCCUAAUCACUGCUUGUCUUGGAUAUUUAUUAUCUUGAUAAAGACUCCUCUUUGUAUGUGUCUUUAAGAAUGUCCAUCAUCUUCGUGAAAGCCUUUGUAUAAUCUUGAAAGUCUUCCCAAAAAACCCUGUGGGAAAAAAUAUGAGGAGAAUAGUGUAGGUAUGUUGCUAAAACUCCUUUAAACCCGGUGGGAAAAUAAUAAGGAGAAAAUAAUGCAACAUAUAAUGAUUAUUGUCUCUUGAUAACUCAAUCGAGAAAACCUUUGAAGAAGGAGAAAAAUCAAUUGUGAGUUUAGAGAACAAUUAAUAUGUCUUUAAUACUUUCUUUAAAAAAACCCAAUAGGGAAAAUAGAAAGUAUGGCAUAUGAUUUUGAUAAUAUAUUGCCUCAUUAAAAACCUUUUUAUGAGAAAACUGAUGCAAAACUCAUAAAGGAAAAGAGUACAAUUAUUAUCUGAUGAUAAUUAAUGGGUUAUGAGUCUAGGAAUUUCUCCCCCUGAAAUUUGCAAAUCUCGAAAACGUCUCAUACCAAUUCCAUGAAUAUAUUUCUGGAAUGUUGAAUUUGGUAAAGACUUUGUGAACAAAUCUGCUAGAUUGUCGCAUGAUUUGGUUUGCAAAAUAUCAAUUUCUCCAUCCUUUUGUAAUGCAUGAGGAUAGAAUAACUUAGGAGAAAUGUGUUUUGUGAUAUUACUUUUCACAUAACCCAUUUGCAUUUGAGCAAUGCAGGCUGCAUUAUCUUCAUAUAUAAUAGUUGGUGAUCCUAAUGAACCAACACCACAUGAAGUUUGAAUAUGGUUAAUCAUCCUGCGAAGCCAUACACAUUCUUUAGAUGCUUCAAAUAAUGCAAUAAUUUCAGAAUGAUUAGUGGAUGUUGCUACGAGAGUCUGUUUUGUUGACUUCCAUGAAAAAACAGUUCCACCAUAUAAGAAUACGAAACCUGUUUGUGACCUGGCAUUGUGAGGAUCAGAUAGAUAGCCAGCAUCAGUAUAUCCUACCAUAGUCAUAUCUUGGUUUUUCUGAUAGAAUAAGCCAAGAUCUUUUGUGCCAUGUAAAUAUCUAAGGAUAUUCUUUACUCCCGUCCAAUGACGUUUUGUUGGAGCAGCGCUAUGUCUAGCUAGUAAAUUUACCGCAAAUGCAAUAUCAGGCCUGGUGCAAUUUGCAAGGUACAUUAGCGCACCAAUGGCACUGAGAUACGGGAACUCAGGUCCUAAUAUCUCUUCGUCAUCAUCCCGAGGUCUAAAAGGAUCUUUAUUCAUAUCAAGGGAUCUGACAACCAUGGGUGUUUUGGUUGGAUAUGAUUUAUCCAUAUUAAAUUUUUCCAAAACCUUUUGAAUAUAUGCAGGUUGGUAUACUAAAAUUCCUGAGGGAAGAUGCUCAAGCUGUAAGCCUAAGCAGAAUUUGGUCUUUCCCAAAUCUUUCAUCUCAAAUUCCGCCAUUAGAUGAUUGCGUGCUUCUUCGAUAUCAGGUCUACAUCCAAUGAUAUUGAGGUCAUCAACGUACACUGAGAUGAUGCAAAAUCCAUUUGGGGAUUUCUUUAUAAAUACACAAGGGCAAUCAUCAUUAUUUGAGUAGCCUUUUUGAAUAAGGAACUCACUCAGCCGGUUAUACCACAUUCUACCCGACUGUUUUAAGCCAUAUAGUGACUUUUGUAAUUUUACACAAUAUGCGUUGCGAUUUGCUUUUGGAUUCGGCAUUUUAAGUCCUUCAGGGACUUUCAUAUAUAUAUCCGAUUUGAGUGACCCAUAUAAGUAUGUUGUCACUACAUCCAUCAACUGCAUAGAUAAAUUCAUUUGUACUGCCAAAGAUAUUAAGUAUCGAAACGUUAUUCCACUCAUUACAGGAGAGUAUGUAUCAUCGUAAUCGAUGCCGGGUCUCUGCGUGAACCCUUGUUCUACAAGCCUCGCUUUGUAUCUCACCACCUCAUUGUUUUCAUUCCUUUUUCGAACAAAAACCCAUUUUGCUCCAACAGGGAAGACAUUGUGAGGAGUAGGUAUUACUGAGGAAAAUACCUCUCUUUUGUUGAGCGAGCGCAGUUCUGCCUCAAUUGCUUCCUUCCAUUUAGGCCAAUCAGGACGCUUGAGGCACUCCCUGACGGUCUUUGGUUCUGGAUCCAGUUGAAGGGUUUCAGCAAUUUCAGAGGCGAAAUAUAUGUCGACAAUUGUAGUCUCUCUAUUAUAUGAUUCUCCUAAUUCUGUAUAGUUUAUGGAAAUUUCUUUUAUACCUUCAGACUCUAUGUGAUUUCCCACAACAAUAGAAUCAUGGUGUUCCGAUGUCCCAGCAAUUAUGUUUUUAUGCGCAUUUAUGCUUGGUUCAAGAUGUUGAGCAUCUGGUUGGUGUCCUUCAACUUGAGGUUGAAUUGCAUUUACUGGUAGAGGAUUUGAUUUCCUCUGUUUCCGCGGAGGCUUUUGAGAAGCUAUAUUCCGACUAACCAGAUUUCUCCCCCUCUUACUCUCAUUUGGGGUUUGAGUGGUUUUAGUUGGUACCUCCACUCGUUCUGGUGCAUUAACAGCGGGAAUAUGUGAUUUAGUGACACCUUUAUGGUGAGUAAAUGCAUCUGGCAGAUUAUUUGCAAUGUGUUGCAAAUCUAUGAUCCUGUGAACUUCAGUUUCAGAUUCUUUAGUACGUGGAUCUAAGGACUGAAUGCCUGUUACAUUCCAAUCUAUUUCCUGGCAUUCUUUGUGGUUUGAUUCUCCCCCUAAUGCCGGGGAAUGGUCCUCAUCAAAAAUAGAAUCAGCGUAACGGGCAGUAAACAGGUCCCCUGUAAGAGGUUCAAGAUAUUUAAUAAUUGACGGAGAAUUAUAACCCACAUAGAUCCCUAGUUUUCUGUGGGGGCCCAUGGAUGUACGCUGCGGUGGUGAUAUCGGUACGUAUACUGCGCAACCGAAUUUUCGCAGAUGGGAAAUACUUGGCUGAGUGCCACGUACUAGUUGUAGCGGGGAGGUUGUAUGAUAUGCAGUUGGUCUGAUUUGUAUCAGAUCUGCGGCGUGUAAUACCGCAUGUGCCCAACAAGAUGCUGGUAAAUUACAAUUCUGUAAUAGUGGUCGAGCAACUAAUUUUACUCUUUUGAUGAGAGAUUCAGCCAAACCAUUUUGAGAUUCUGCGGCGGUUCUGGCGGUGGUUCCCGGCGAAGAAGCGGCGAUGAGGGCCACUCCGGUUCUGGCGGUGGUUCCUGGUGAAGGAACGGCGGCGAGGGCCAUUCCUUGCACCAAGGCCCUCACGGCGACGUGCAAUGCGGUGGCGCUGCGUGCGAGUGAAGCGGCUGUCUUCUUUCUGCAGGAAACGUGCGAAAGCAAAAGCAAGCGAGGACAAAUCUCUCCCUGCCAUUCUCACCUUUCUCUUGGCUCUCUGUCGCUCUCGGCAGAGCAAGUGCUGAUAACGUGUGAAAAGUAAAAACGAGAGAGAGGAUAAAAAUGAUGGAACCGUUGCUUUCAUUGAUGGAUUGGGAGUAUAUAUACCCCUGGUACAAGGCAGUUACAAAGAGGCAGUUGCUACUAGUAGCAACCGACAUAGCGGGGAUUAACCCUUUAAUUAAUCUAAUUAAUUUAUUUCUAACACUAUUAUUGGAAAACAUGCAUACACAUGCAGAUGUUUGGAUUUUUUCACUGUUUUGACCUUACAUGUAAACAUGAGCACAAAAUGAACUCAGUCUGAAAAUAUUUUUGGAUCUGACCUUUCUUUAAAACGCCAGAGUCCGUCGCGUUGCUGCUCCACGUAGAAACGCCAGACUAACGUGGCGUUUUUGAUCUACAUUCAAACGUCAGUCUACUGGACGUUGCAGCAUAUAUAGAAACGCCAAGUUCAGUCUGUUGUAAGUUGAAUCGAGAGAAACAAAUGAAUCAAUUGUCACUUUAUUCCUUGAUGAUUGAACACUUUAUAUGCCAGGGAAAGACGGUUCCCGGAGGCGACGCUCCAGGAACAAUACGCCGGUUCCGCAUCGUGGGGGGAAUUCACGUGCGGUUACAAGUAGAGAUUAAUUUAACUAAUUACAUAAUUAAUUAAAUUCUAACACUCCCCCUAAUCUAUACUUGUCCAUGAGCGUGUCCAUCAUCUUGAAAUAGUCUCCUCCAAAAACCCUGUGGGAAAAAUAUAAGGAGUGGUGUAGUAUAUGCGGCUAAAACUCCUUCAAACCCUGUGGGGAAAUAAGGAGAAAAUGAUAUAGCAUAUAAUGCGUAUUGCCUCUGUUAACUCUAUAUGAAAUGUAUCCAUAGAAUAAGAGGACAAUAAAUAUGUCGUAUAUACUUUCCUAAAAACCCCGGUGGGGAAAACAGAUAGUAUGACAUAUGAUCUUAUGUUGAUAUUACCUCAUUAAAAACCUCGAUGAGAACCUAUAAAGUAAACUCAUAAAGGGAAAAGAGUGUAAUAUGAUGCUUUGAACAGGAAGAGUUCAGGAAGAGACUCCCCCUGACUCUUGCAAAUCUCGGAGCCGUCGCAUACCAAUUCCAUGAAUGUAUUUCUGGAAUGUUGAAGCUGGUAGAGACUUCGUGAAAAGAUCAGCUAGAUUAUCGCAUGACUUGACUUGCAAGAUGUUGAUUUCACCACUUUUCUGGAGUUCAUGGGGAUAAAACAACUUAGGGGCAAUAUGCUUAGUGAUAUUGCUCUUUAUGUAUCCUGUUUGCAUCUGUGCAACACAAGCCGCAUUAUCUUCAUAGAUAAUGGUAGGUGAUUUGAUAGAACCAAUUCCACGUGACUGUUGUAUGUGGUUUAUCAUUCUGCGAAGCCACGUGCAUUCACGUGAUGCCUCAUAUAAAGCAAUUAUUUCAGAAUGAUUGGUAGAUGUUGCAACUAGGGUCUGUUUUGAAGACUUCCAUGAUAUAGCAGUUCCACCAUGUAGGAACACAAAGCCGGUCUGCGAUCUGGCAUUAUGGGGAUCAGAUAAAUAGCCAGCAUCUGUAUAUCCAAUUAUACCAGAGUCUAGUUUUUUCUGGAACUGAAUAGGCCAAGAUCCUUUGUGCCUUGGAGAUAUCGAAAGACAUUCUUGACUCCCGACCAAUGGCGUUUGGUGGGAGCUGCGCUGUGUCUAGCAAGUAGAUUUACUGCAAAUGCGAGGUCAGGUCUCGUGCAAUUUGCUAGAUACAUAAGCGCUCCAAUUGCACUGAGAUAUGGAACCUCGGGUCCAAAAAUCUCUUCACCAUCAUCCCUUGGCCUGAACGGAUCUUUCUCUACGUCUAGAGAUCGAACCACCAUGGGAGGUUUAGAUGGGUAGGAUUUGUCCAUAUUGAAUUUCUCCAAUAUUUUCUGGAUAUAGGCAGCUUGGUGUACCAUUAUUCCUGAGGUAAGGUGCUCGAGUUGGAGACCCAAGCAAAAUUUGGUUUGGCCCAAAUCCUUCAUCUCAAAUUCCAUCUUUAGGUGAUUGCGUGCUUCAUCAAUAUCUGGUGUACAGCCGAUGAUGUUGAGAUCAUCAACAUACACAGAAAUGAUGCAAAAUCUUGUAGACGACUUCUUGAUGAAGACACAUGGGCAAUCAUCACUAUUGGAGUAACCUUUCUGAAGAAGGAACUCACUUAGUCGGUUGUACCACAUCCGCCCCGACUGUUUUAAGCCAUACAAUGACUUAUUCAGCUUUACACAAUACAUGUUGCGUUUUGCAUUGUUACUCGGGACAGAGAUUCCGUCAGGAACCUUCAUAUAUAUGUCCGAAUCUAGUGACCCGAAAAGAUAUGCGGUCACGACGUCCAUCAACUGCAUGGAUAGACGAUUUUGUACUGCCAUAGAUAUAAGAUAUCGGAAAGUUGUUCCACUCAUUACUGGAGAGUAUGUCUCAUUGAAAUCAAUGCCGGGUUUCUGCGUAAAACCUUGUGCUACGAGCCUUGCUUUAUAUCUCACCACCUCAUUGUCCUCAUUCCGUUUCCGGAGGAAAACCCAUUUGAAUCCCACAGGGAAAACAUUGGGAGGUGUAGGUAUUGCUUCAGUGAAUACCUUCCUUUUGUUAAGCGAGGCAAUUUCUGCUUGGAUUGCAUCCUUCCAUUUAGGCCAGUCGGAGCGCCUUUGGCAUUCGACGAUAGACCUUGGAUCAUGAUCAGUGAUAAGGAUAUCUACAAUCUUUUCAGCAAAAUAUAUGUCGACAGUCGUAGUCUUGCGGUCAAAUGAUUCUCCAGAAUCAACAUAGUUGAUGGAAAUUUCUUGCACCCCUAGAGACUGUUCGUUAUUUCCCAAUACGAUUGAGUCUAGGUGUUCCGAUGUUCCAGCUAGUUUGUGCAUACUGGAGCUGGGUUGUGAAGGUCUCCCUUCCACUGGGUGUAAACUACCCAUAAGGUGUUCAUCAACGUUGAGUUGACUUGCAUUUACUGAUUUUGAGGAUCUUCUCCUCUCUCUCCUUUGCUGCUUGCGAGAAGCAGGUUCCGGGUCAGAGGUCGUACUACUCCCCCUCUUUUUAGGAACAGGGAGUUGAGUGGUUUUAGUUGGUACCUCCACUCUUUCGGGCGCAUUUCUGGCUGGAAUCAAGGAUUUUGUAACACCUUUUAGAUCAGUAAAUGAAUCUGGCAGAUUAUUUGCAAGAUGUUGCAAAUUGAUAAUUUUCCGAACUUGUAGUUCGGUCUCUUGAGUACGUGGAUCAGAGGCUGAAAUGGCAAUGGCAUUCCAAUCAAUUUCCGAGCAUUCUUUCUGGUACUUGAAAUCUCCCCCUAAUGCCGGAAAAUGUUCCUCAUCAAAAAUGCAAUCAGCGUGACGGGCUGUGAAUAGAUCCCCAGUAAGGGGUUCCAGGUACUUGAUAAUCGACGGCGAUCUGUACCCCACAUAGAUCCCAAGUUUCCUGUCUGGGCCCAUGGAUGUCCGCUGUGGUGGUGAGAUUGGGAUGUACGUAGCACAUCCGAACUUACGCAGAUGGGAAAUGCUGGGAGGAUUUCCACGUACCAAUUGCAGAGGGGAAGUACUGUGAUAUGCAGUAGGUCGCAAUUGGAUUAAGUCAGUAGCGUGUAAAAUUGCAUGACCCCAACACGAAGUUGGUAAGCUGCAAUUCAUUAACAAAGGUCUUGCAAUGAGUUUGAUCCUUUUAAUUAGAGAUUCGGCCAAACCAUUUUGAGUAUGAACGUAUGGGACAGAGUGCUGAACUUCAAUCCCCAAGGCCAUGCAAUAGUCAUUGAAAGCACGUGAACAAAAUUCUGCAGCAUUGUCCAUGCGAAUUGAUUUAAUUCAACUUUCUGGAUAAUGGGCCUGUAACUUAAUUACUUCCCGCAUUAUCUUGGCAAAUGCAUGGUUUCGUGUGGAUAGAAGGCACACGUGUGACCAUCGUGUAGAUGCAUCAAUCAGAACCAUGAAAUACCGAAAUGGUCCAGAUAAUGGUUGGAUAGGACCACAAAUGUCACCUUGAAUGCGUUCAAGGAAGUGAAGUGGUUCAGCUUGUAUUUUAAGGUGUGAUGGCCUUAAAAUUAGUUUCCCUGUGGCGCAGGAUGUGCACACAAAGUCUGAUGACUGAGGAAACUUUGACUCGAGCAAAUUAUGACCAAUAGAAUUGCUAGUAAUUUUCCUCAUCAUCCCAACACUGGGGUGGCCAAGGCGAUCAUGCCAAGUUUGGAAUGCAUUAACAUUCUGAAAAAUUACCUUGUAAGCAACAUGUUCUACGGGCUUGAUGUACGUAUAGUACAGUCCGGACGAUAGUGAAGGAAUUUUUUCAAGUACUUGCUUGCCAUAUCCGUAAUCUUUUGUGAAGAGUAGAAACUCUUCUGUGUUGUCCUCAUGGGUUUCAAUGUGAAAACCAUUUUUACGGAUAUCUCAAAAACUGAUUAGGGUACGGGAUGAAUCAGGAUACAGCAAGGCAUCCUCAAUUGUCACUUGUGUACCACCUCGGAGGGUAAAUAUGGCACGUCCAGUGCCAACAAUUACCGUAUCGCGUCCAACGAUUGUCAAAAUAUCUCCAUUCAUCUUUUUCAGAGUCUGAAAAUAUUUCAACUCCCUUGGUAUGGAGUUUGUGGUAGCACUGUCCACAAGGCAUAAUUCCUCUUCCAUCGGAUUGUCCCCAUAGAAAGCUAUAUAUAAAAAUGAGGAAUUUUCAAUAAGAAAGCCUUAUUUCAAUACAUAGAAUACAAUCUUAUUAUAUCAAAGUGCUGAUACAAUAUAUAAAUGACAACAAUACUUAUGUUCUAUUACAAUCAUCACACAUGGAUAUGAUUUAUUUAAUAAAUCGACCACUAAGGAGAUAAUGGGACUAAUCGAAGUCUCCAAACAUGUCGGUUGAGGUGUACUCAACCAUCAUGUUCUCCGUGUCUGUAGGAUCCUCUAAUGUAUGGAGUGUCAUGGUGUUGCUAGAUCCGGGAGGAACAUCUUGCGAACAACCAGCUCCAUUGGUGCCAUCUGGAUGAAGGUUGAAGUUGGCUUGAAACCUUUUCCCUUGAGGUACUUUGCGUCCCUGAGAUUGCUGAUACAGAAUUGCCAGAUGCUUCGGGGUCUUGCACUUAUUGGUAGGAUGCGUGUAGCAUCCACACUUGUCACAAAGCUUAGUUUGGUCAAACUUGGGCUUUGCGGUGCCUUUCCCAUGGUCCGAGUUUCUAGGCUUUCUGUUCCGGUUGCGCUUGCAUUUACCCUUGAAGUUCGAUGGCUUGCCAUGGGACGCACCAUCAAACUUUCGUCUGUUCACGACGUUCAUAUGAACUUCAGGCAGAGGUUGGGAACCAACCGGACGCUGAGAACCAUUCUUAGCGAGUAGCUCAUCAUGCUUUUCAGCCUGAAGUAGGAUAUGAAUGAGGUCGGAAUAGACUUGGUAGUCAUGAGCGCGGUACUGUUGCUGGAGGACCCUUUCAUAUGGGAGCAUAGUAGACAUAGUUUUUUCUAUCUUUUCCGCAUCAGUAGGUUCCUUCCCGCAAAAGCGUAAUUUGGAACAUAUCUUAUGAACCUCGUGAUUGUACGCCCCGAUGGACUUGAAAUCCUGGAGUCGGAUAUGCGUCCAAUCAUGGAGUGCUUCCGGCAGGACAACUGCCUUUUGCUGUUCAUACCUCGUCUUGAGGGCCUGAAACAGAGUAAGUGGGGAUUCCUCCUCCAAAUAUUCAGAUUUGAGAUCUGGGUGGAUAUGGUGCCUUAUGAUGUAUAAGGCGGCAUAUUUCUGUUCAUCUCUCAGCGGCGUGACUCCAUCCGGAAGAGGAUCUUCCGGAGUCUGGAUUGCACACACUAAUCCACGAGAUGCAAGAGCGAUCUUGAUGUCCAUGGCCCAGGUAGGAUAGUUGUGGCCAUUGAGGUCGGGUGCAUCGAACUCUCUUCCAGCCAUUGGUUACCUACAUGGGUAAACCAGAGAUUAUUAAUUUACACCAGGUAAAUUAAAACCUUCAUGGUUACGUUGUAUUGAACGUUGCAAAAUUAAUGAUAACUUCAAGAAAUGGGCUUGAAAUCAUUAGUGUGACUUUCAAAUUGUGAAGUUUGACACAUUGUAGAUACGCCCCAAACGAAAAUUCGGGGUCCAUCUCUCAGAACUAGGGAGUAUAAUCUGAUAAAAUCAGUAGAUACUCAUGUUUCUAGUACCUUAUGUCAUAACUUAAUAAAAUGUAUCGGAGGGCACAAUAUUAAGCAAUCAUCAUAUCAAUAUGAUAGAAUGUAGGCUUAAUCGUAGUGGCGAUAAUCUGCUAUGCAUUAGAUCAACACACUUCUUUGUGGUCCCAAAACAUCAAUUUGAAAGAAAAUCACUUUGGAAUUUUGCAUAUCAACUCGUGCUCGUAUUAAGCCAAAGGCUCAAUUAAGACGAGGGGUUGAUUUUUAUUUGCAAGAAAUUUGAAAUCUCAAUUACAAAUAAUAGAGGUAAUAAAUCUCAACAUGUAGCAAACAUGGAAAUAUAUAUUACAUCACAUAUGUUCUAGAAUACAAAGUACUCUACAGAAAACAAAACAGUACUAGAAAUAGACGUACUGAAAACAGGAAUUAAACAGGAUCUAAGACAGGGAUUAGUCUACUGCUAGAUCUACUGUUGAUAGUACAGGAAGUAAUCUAAAACAGAGAGCAAAUAGUGCUGGAAAAUACUACUAAAGUGUGCUGGAGUGCUGCAAGACCACAUGUGCCAUCGAACCAAGGCCACAUGUGUCCCAAGGAUGUGCACAUGUCGUCUGCAGCGUCCACUUUAUUCAAAUCACGGGAGGAUAAGGCAGAGCCAGCUCUAAAAAAACAAGAGCGGCACCGCAUCAGGCAGAGCCCCGCGCCAGGGAGAACUCCGCGUGUGCUGCUUCACAGCGUUCACCAGGGACGGGCGAGAGAGCCUCCGCCGCGCUCGUCCUCGUCUUCGUCGGAAGGCCCGCCCGGGGGCAAGGAGCGAGGCGAGGUGCCGUCCACGAGCCCAAGGGCGGCCGGGCUCCAGGANGCUCUCCAAACCUGCGGUGGAGAGCAGCGAGGCGGCGACGACGGACGUAGUUCUGCUGCAGGCGGCGAAGGUUCGUCGGCGUUGAGCGAGGCAUCCUUCUCACCUUUUGCUUCUUGCCUGUCGAUCUCAUCGAUCUCGUCGAAAGCACUCUGGAAGAGCAGUGCUGAUAACGUGUUGUAAGUUGAAUCGAGAGAGAGAUAGCGAGAGAAACAAAUGAAUCAAAUGUCACUUUAUUCCUUGAUGAUUGAACACUUUAUAUGCGAGGGAAAGACGGUUCCUGGAGGCGACGCUCCAGGAACAAUACGUCGGUUCCGCAUCGUGGGGGGAAUUCACGUGCGGUUACAUGUAGAAAUUAAUUUAACUAAUUACAUAAUUAAUUAAAUUCUAACACAGUCUACUUAGCGUUUCAGGCUAUGUAGCAACGCCAAGGCGCAUGGCGUUUCAAUGCAUGCGCUACUGUUCGCAGCAUGCAGGCAGGCAUGCACGCAUGCGCCGCUGUUCGCAGCUACUGUUUGCUACUGGUCACUGCCCCUCUCUGCUCGUUUUUGAGUCUUGCAUGCCAGCUACACUGUGUAUGGAGUCUUGCAUGCGAGCUACACUGUGUAUGGGAGAAAAAAUAAUGCCCAGUAAAGAGGAUCGGAGGGAGUACACUGCAUCCAUGCAUGCAGGCAAUGCAGAGGCAGGCACGCACACACACAUAACUAUGGGAUGUGGCUAUGGUGUGGCGUAGAGUAGCAUGGAUGAUGAGCAGGAGUAAAAUAAACUAUUGUUGCUCCUACUGGCACGGUGACACCGGCACAGUAGCUCAUGCAUGGUUAUUUGCCUCAGAAACGCCAACUCGCAUGGCGUUUCACUGAAGGCCAAAAACGCCACACUAUACAGGCAUUUCUUAAUAGGUCUGCAACGCCACGUUAGAGUGGCGUUUCUUAAUAGGGCUGCAACGUCACGGACUAUGGCGUUUUAAGAAAAUGAUCAAAACGUGAAAUUGUUUUCAAACGAGUUCGUUACGUGAUUAUCGUAGCCCCCUCGGAUCAAAACAGUGAAAAAACCCCAGAUGUUUCAAGCUACUGGCUUCCUUUAAUCCUUUCCAACAUGAUUUUUUAGGAACUUAAAAGCAAACAAUUUAAUUGCAAAUCAAUAUAUAUAUGGAUGGUCUGAGCAUCUACAACCACGGAUCCACCCCUCAAAAGUCCGCGGACGCGUCCGCGGACAUAGACCGGGCGCGUCUUAUUUUUUGCCUUUCACAUCUGCGUCUCUCAUAUUCGAAACCUCAUAUCCAUACAAAUGCAUGCAACGUCACGUAAAACAAGAGAUAACCAUUCUCCAUUGGAUUGGAUUGAUUCGUCGAACAAAAGCAUCAUAGUUCAUCGAACUUCAUCGGCAAAUUAAUACUAGAAACUACUUAAGCAUAAUUAAAAUGUACACAACACGGGGCGCUCACGGUCGAACGUCGCGCGGCCAGCGCCUCCCCCUUUCCCUCUCCCAUUGCCGCUCUAGACGCGCUGCACGCGUCUUGGACUCCGACGUCCUCUCGCGCCCCGUCCCCGACACGGGCACGAGGACCUAGCGUGGCCGGGUACCGCUUUCGAAGCAGAAGGUGGUGGAGGUGGGCAACGUACCUAACCUGGAGCGGACCGGCCGGAGCGGGAGCGACCAAAGCUGUAUGCCUUGCGGGAAGGGCCUGCUACGUCGGCGUGCGAUGAGCCCGAAGGAUGUAGGACCACAGUCGGGGCCGCCUUGGUCCUGCAGCAACCGGCGUAACGCGAUACGGAGGGCCACCUCCUCUACAUCGACGUUUGAUCCAUCAGAGUUGCUUCUGUCGCCGAUCAUCGGGUCGGAGGGUGGGGGAUUUGAAGUGGAGUGGACAGAGAGUGAACUGCUGGAUGUCUAGAGUUUUUGGAUUGGGGUAUUUAGUGGGUCCGUGGUGGGCGGGCUAACAUGGCCACGGGGUCGACGGUGGGCCAGACCUGACAGACGGGGCAUGCCCAGGCGCGCCCGGGCUUUCCCAUAUCCGUCCUAUAUUUGAAAUGGACAUGAGGAGUACCGCUCAGUCUAGACGUUUGAGACGAGUUUGAGAGACUCGUCUGGAUCGAAUUUUUGUGACCGGACAAUGACCGGACGGCCAGCCCGAUAUUUUAAGGAGCAUUUAAAGGGUCUGGCUAUAGAUACUCUAAUACUCUCUUGGACCCUUUUAUACGUUUUAAAAACCAUAAAGUUGAUCGUUCAAUUUCUGGGAGCAGUCGUUCAUAUGAAAACACCCUCGUUAUCGGACUAAGGCGGCCACCAUAUUCUUUACCAAAGUGUUCAUGUGUUUUCCUAUUUUUUGUAUCACGUUUCCUGACUUAUCCGUCCUGGUGCGGCCGUCGUGGGUGAUGCAUGAGAGCCAAUGGUUUUAGUACCACAUAUGGUGUUCUUGUGGAUAGGUAUCUUAUGUUUAACUUGUCUUGAGAGAUGUGACGGUGUUAAUGAUGUCUACAUGCUCUUUUUUGUCCGUUCUUCCUUUUUUCUACUAUGAUAUUUAUCUUUUUCCUUAAUAAUAUGAAGGUAAAUUUAUUGAUGCCAGUUUGCCAUGUGUGGGAUGUCUACCUCACAACAAAAUAUUCAACGGCAUUAGUUUCCCCAACUCUUAGGGCAGAUGGCUCAUAUGGCUUGAAGACCUAUGAGGUUAGUCGAGGUUAUGUAGGUUUUUUUUUGGUUUUAAUUAUUAGGAUAUACCUUGUGAGGGCUUCGGUUGCCUUUGUUAUUCACUUCAAUCAAAUGUGCCAUUUUUAUGAAACAAGCUCCUUAUGUUCUUCUUAAUAACAAAUGAAUCGAGGUGGUCUUUGAAGGCAUCUUCGGGUGGAAUGGACGAUGCGGCUUGGUGUCUUGGUCCUAUGGCUCCUUCACGAGCGGCGAUGUUUGGCAUGCUUCUAGUAGCUUGUGGUGUAAUCUCACUUCAUAUCUGUCUGGUGUAAUUUGUAGUAGUCGCUCUACCUUCUUCGUCCUCUUCUUCUCUAGGAUGGCGAAUUAUUUCGCAGAUCUUGCUGGCGUUGGCGUUUGCUUCCUCCGACCAUCGACUUCCUAGUUGUUGCUUAACAAUGUCCUCCUGACAUUGAUGGGUUUUGAAGGUAAAGAGAAAGCAUCGAGCUUUUCUCACGGUGCGCCGCUCGCGAGUUCACCAGAAAGAUGACGACGAUUUGUCCAAAGACAAGUGUGUAACUAUUAAUUUCUAUAAGAAUGACCUUUAAGGGUUUGUGGACUUCAAUAUAUGGUCUUUGGCCUUCUUAUGGAAUUGUUUGUUUGAAUAUGCCGAAAAGAAAUCAUAAACUUGUGGGUCACACACAUAUUUCCCCAAGGAAUUAAGCUCCACGAAAUUCCAUUUUGCAGUUCGGAGCAAAGCCACAAUGCAAGAGAGAGAUCUAAUACCAUGUACCAAACAAUCUAAGAAUGAAAAUAUGAUGGUCGCACUUGAAAGCAAGUUAUAAUUAUCAUAACAUGAAAACUAUUAGUGCAAAAGCCCCUCAAAGGUUAUAAAAGUCCAUAAACCGCCUAAUCGACACCACCAUGUAAAACUUUCUUGUGCUUUCACUCCCACCCUCCUUUAUUAGCAACAAAGAGUGUUAAACAAUUGAGAGCAUCUCAAACAGCAGCUGCAAAAACCGCACACGCGGGGAAAAUAGUCUUUUAGCACGUGUGGGGCGGUUGCGUGCGCUCCAGCAGCCGCGGAAUAAUCGGCCGCGCGGGAAAAGGUAGCCCGCCGCGCGAUAGAUUUGGCGUGCAGCGCUCGGCGCGCCCUAUAAAUGCAGUACUCGACCACGCGUCCUUCCACCGCUCUCACUCGCCUCUCUCCCGCCACGCGUCCUCUGUCGAUGUCUCUCUCGCCUCGUCGCCCUCGCGCCGUCGCGGAACUUCGGGAUACCGUGACGUCCGUUCUGCGCUUCGCCAAGAUCCGCUCCGGCGACAUGCGCCUUGGCCUCGACACGUUCGACGCCGCCGACGAUGACGUCCGUGCGUAUGACGCGGCAGCGUUGCGCCUCAACAUGCCUCUUAGGGAGAUGAAUUUCCCCGAGGUGAUGACGCUGGAGUGGGCGCAGAACCCCACGCCUCGUCCAUAGGUUGUCACCGAAGAGGACCAUCGUCGGAACCGGAGGCGGGAGCGCCGCCUCAGCAUUGUUGAGAUGGACGAGCAUGCCAUGACAGAGUGGCGCCGACAGUUCCUGCAGGACGACCUCGAUGAGCGCUAAUUCUUCACGCAAAGGAGGAUGGAGCAAGCCGCCUAUCGUGAAGAUAGGCGUACGCGGAAGCAAGCUGCACUGUUCUAGAUGGAGCUGAAGGAAUCGUCGAUUUGGCCCUCCGACGAUGAACGCUGGGCUGACACCUUCAUCAUGACGGAGGAAUAGGAUACCGGCCCGUCGGAAUCCGAUAACGACGACGAAUAGUCUUCUAUCUAUCUAGACUAUCUAUGGUUUGUAUGUACCUUUUUUUAUCGUUUUCUAUCUAUCUAGGCUAUCUAUGUUAUGUAUCAUUUAUUAAAAAUUAUGCUAUGUAUCGUUAUGUAUCGUUUAAAAAUAUACUAUGAUCAAAAAUGCAUAUUGCAAGCGCUGAAGUUUUUACGCGUUUGCUGGAGUGUCCCGCGCGCGUCAAAUUUUGCGACUUACGCUCGAGCCAGCGUUUGCUGGCGCGCUAAAAUUUGUUGUCUACAUGAUGUAAACUCACUUUUUAUGCGCCGUGCGUUGCGCACGUGUUGGAGAUGCUGUGACACAGAUAGAAACUAUGCAAUUAAGAAAUUACAACCUUCCAAAUUAGAGCUGAGCAAUCCAUGGUUAUACCACGAAGUUACAAUAGUUAUCUCUAUAAACCAACCCACUAAAAAAUAAACAAAAGGGAAAAAGCAAUACGCCAGACCAUCCUACAAAAAUGAGACGGUCUCUUGAUAAUUAGUUAUCCAUAGUAUUAAAUAGAUCUUUUUUUUCUUUAGGAACUCUACAAAGGGCUAUAAAAAUUACAUUGCCAUGUUCAUUUUAGUUAUAUUAUUUUCAAUAAUUUUAAUAAAAAAGAAGAAAAUCCUUUUUUUUCUUGCUAAAAAUUGGCAUUGGCCGAGAGUGAAUCAAAUGAAUUUUCUCUUUAGUUGGCAUUUCUAUAUAGAACUUAAUAUAAUAAAACAAUCAAGUUACACAUAGAACACUUUUUUGUCGAUUAUAUUCAUCAAGAAAGCAAAACUGACCAACUUGUGUUGUAACAGAUCAGCUAAAACAAUAACUAACUCAGACUAGGCCCAUAUAUAUAUUGUUUAUUAUACUGUAUAUGUCGAUAUCAUCUGAAUGCGGAUUAAAGUUACUUCGAGAAAAUAAACGAAUAAUGGGUACGGGCAUACGGUACCUGUUGUGGCAGAAAUAAAAUCGUUGCAUGUGACUGAAGUAAUCGUCGGCUAUUGGAGGUGUGGGAAAAUUGCAGCGAAUCUGAUCUGCUGAAUAAUUAAAGCAUCAUUUUAUAGCAAAGUUGAUUUAGUAGUGAUCACGAUGUCCAACGACUUCAAGCUAACAGCGAUAUGCUCCACACAUAUAUAGUUUCUUUUGGGGAAGAAUAUACACACUAGUGAGGACGGGGCCUUUAGCCCCGGCCCGUAAGGGGCUUUAGUUCUGGUUCACCAAUCGGGACUAAAGGGCGGGACUAAAGGGCCAACCUUUAGUCCCGGCCCUGUAAGGUGCUUCACGUGGGCGCCUCGUAGCGCUUCAUGGGCAGACCCUUUAGUCCCGGUCCGUGUACGGACCGGGACUAAAGAAUUUCAGAUUUUUUUUUUUGAAUGAAAUUAGUUUUGGGUUUUAGGGUUUUAGGGUUUAGGUGUUCGGAAGAUUAACGUGAUGCCUCGUUUGGUGUUCGGUAAUUAGUUUUCAUACAAUUUAAAUAGAAAUAAUUAUGCAUAUAUAUAUAUAAGAUUUACUUAUCUUACAAGCGAGCAUAUAUAUACAAUUAUAUGGAGAUCUGAAUUAUCGGGACUAGAGCCCGUCUAUUCGAUUACAUGGACGAACAUCAGUAAUGGCCCCUAGCUACACUAAAUCGUCUAUAGCUCCGUCCUCAGAAAGGUCGCAAGCUCCUCUGCAACAGCAAUCGCGCGUUGCUCUGGUAGGACCUUCGUCCUCAUGGCCGUGUACUAUAUAAGAAGAGGAGAUGAAUAUGAAUAUCAAUCAUGACAACAAAGAAUGACGGGUAAAAAUAGAGGUGUGAAUGUUCAUUGCUUACGUCGAAUCUGUGAUCCUUGUGCUCAGAGGUAAACGUACGAAUGGUCUCGCAAACAUAGUAUCCGCAUAGAUGCGUUCCCCGUAGCUGCUGGUCGCACUUUCCGAGAAUAGAAUAUAUAUAAUCAAAAUAAUAAUCUAGCAUCAUAAAUGUAUUGAAAAUAGAAGUAUAUCAUACUACUACUUACCUGGGCCACUCUAAAGGUCAGCUUCUCAGGCUCGAUACCGGGAGUCACGCACUUGAACCGCUUCCAAACCCUGCCCGACAAGGAUAAUGAUUUGCUAAGUUUUUCAUUAAUUGAUAUAUCAGAAAAUCAUCGAAAGAGACCGAUAGAGCGCAAGAAUGAUUGAAAUUACCCUUGGAGCAUGUCCUGCAGGCUUUGGAACUGUUCCAAGGGUCUCGAUAAUGGGUCGAAGGCAUCGACUCUUCCCUUAUCAACUUGAGCAUAGUAUUCAAAGUAGGAGUACUUUUCCAAUUUGAGCAUUCAAUAAGCAAAACCAAAUCCUAAAAUAAAGUAGUAUUCAAAUUAGCAUGCAUUCAAUUAUAAGCAAAUACAUCAUCUCUUUUGUCCGUACAUCGUCGAAUAUUAUCACUAAUACUCCUCGAAUACUAUCAUACAUAUAGCAUCACUGAUACAUCUAGAAAGUAGCGCCCGACGGGUAUCGGCGCGGGCGGUGGACACCCAAAGAGAAGGAACCAUCACAGGAUCAUAGCUCCAGUGAGAUCCCCGAAGAACCUGCCAGGUAUGCUCGAACCUGCCCUCCAACGCAACCAUGUAGCGACGGACGUGCUCAUCCUCCUCGCUGACACGGUGACGUACCACCUCCGCGGUGUCCGGAAGCCUCGGCACCCUCACUGGCCCACGCGACCGCCACCAAACAAGGAUCGGGUCAACGACGGGCUGGCUCCUCACCAACCUACGCCCCCGGAAGGUAGCACCUCCCAAUACCAGCCGGGCGGAGCCCAGUCCCGGACAGGGCCCCUCUGAUCAAGCAGGUGUCCUCCGCCGAGUCGACGACGAGGAUGCGGGAUAGGCAUUGUAAAAUAAACUAAAAAAUAAACUAGUUCUAUUAAUUUUCUUGCUAAAAAUAAACUAUUAACACUUAAGCAUGUAUAAUAGCAAAAUUAAACUAUUAACACUUAAUCAUAUACAAUAGCAAAAUUAAGCAAUAAUCUAAGAAACACUAUUAACAUUUAGGCAUAUACACUAUACAAUAGCAAAAUUAAAUGAAAAAAAAAUAUUUCUUCUUCUUGUAACCCUAAACUAAUUUUUUCUCUUCUUCUAUUUCUCCUCUUCUUCUACUUCUCCUCUUCUUCUACUACUUCUCCUCUUCUCUUCUUCUACUUCUCCUCUCCUCCUCUUCUAAUUUUUUCUCUUCUUCUACUUCUCCUCUUCUUCUAUUUUUCCGCUUCUUCUCCUCUCCUCCUCUUCUUAUUCUCCUUUUUCUUCUUUUCUUCUCCUCAUCUUCUUAUUUUCCUUUUUCCUAAUUCUAAAUAUUACUAACCCUAAUAAUCUAGCACAAACCUAAUAACAAUAGGAAUUAAAUGACAAAAAAAAUCUGUUUCNNNNNNNNNNNNNNNNNNNNNNNNNNNNNNNNNNNNNNNNNNNNNNNNNNNNNNNNNNNNNNNNNNNNNNNNNNNNNNNNNNNNNNNNNNNNNNNNNNNNNNNNNNNCAUAUUUGAGAAUUUGACAAAACUAUGAUAAUGAAAAGUGUUUGACAUUGAAUAAAUAAUGCAAAACUAUUUUCUAUUUUCAAAAGUAAUUAUUUUGACUAUCCAAACUAUUAUCUAUUUUUCUAUUUUCAAUUAAAAAAUAUGUUUAUUAAAAUUCUUUUUGCAUAUUUGAGAAUCUGACAAAACUAUGAUAAUGAAAAGUGUUUGAAAUUGAAUAAAUAAUGCAAAACUAUUUUCUAUUUUCAAAAGUAAUUAUUUUGACUAUCCAAACUAUUAUCUAUUUUGUUAUUUUCAAUUAAAAACUAUGUUUAUUAAAAAUUCUUUUUACAUAUUUGAGAAUUUGACAAAACUAUGAUAAUGAAAAGUGUUUGAAAUUGAAUAAAUAAUGCAAAACUAUUUUCUAUUUUCAAAAGUAAUUAUUUUGACUAUCCAAAAUAUUAACUAUUUUGUUAUUUUCAAUUAAAAACUAUGUUUAUUAAAAUUCUUUUUGCAUAUUUGAAAAUUUGACAAAACUAUGAUAAUGAAAAGUGUUUGAAAUUGAAUAAAUAAUGCAAAACUAUUUUCUAUUUUUAAAAGUAGAAGCGACCCCCACAAUAAGAGACGACAUUCUUCUUCUCUCAUAUAUGGUGGACACUAGCUCAACCAUCGAUGAUGGUCGCUACUCCUACUUCCCCUAGUGCAUAACCAAUAUCUAGCACAAGGAGAAGAAGGAGAAACGACCCCCACAGCAACAGUCGACAUUCUUCUUCUCUCAUGUAUGGUGGACACUCCCUCACCUGAUUUUUCGACCGUCGAUGAUGGUCGCUACUCCUUCUUCCCCUAGUGCAUAACAAAUAUCUAGCACAAAGAGAAGAAGGAGAAGCAACCCCCACAACAACAGUCGGCAUUCUUCUUCUCUCAUGUAUGGUGGACACUCCCUCACCUGAAUUUUUGACCGUCGAUGAUGGUCGCUAUUCCUUAUUUCCCUAAUGCAUAACAAAUAUCUAGCACAAGGAGAAGAAGGAAAAGCGACCCCACAACAAAAGUGGUUCCGCGGCACGCCACGUGGUUCCGCUGCACGCCACGUGGGACUAAUGGUCUUUCUUUCCAGCACNNNNNNNNNNNNNNNNNNNNNNNNNNNNNNNNNNNNNNNNNNNNNNNNNNNNNNNNNNNNNNNNNNNNNNNNNNNNNNNNNNNNNNNNNNNNNNNNNNNNUUUGAAAAUAGAAAAUAGUUUUGCAUUAUUUAUUCAAUUUCAAACACUUUUCAUUAUCAUAGUUUUGUCAGAUUCUCAAAUAUGCAAAAAGAAUUUUAAUAAACAUAUUUUUUAAUUGAAAAUAGAAAAAUAGAUAAUAGUUUGGAUAGUCAAAAUAAUUACUUUUGAAAAUAGAAAAUAGUUUUGCAUUAUUUAUUCAAUGUCAAACACUUUUCAUUAUCAUAGUUUUGUCAAAUUCUCAAAUAUGCAAAAAGAAUUUUUAAUAAACAUAGUUUUUAAUUGAAAAUAACAAAAUAGAUAAUAGUUUGGAUAGUCAAAAUUAUUAAUUAUGAAAAUAGAAAAAAAUUGAAACUAUAUGAGAAUUUAUAGAGAAAAUUCAAUCUAAAUUCAAACUGAACUCACUUUGAAUUCAGGUUGAAUUUUCUCCAUAAUUUCGAAUAUAGUUUCAAUUUUCAGUGAGUUUAGGUCCGUAAGCCUGCUUUAGAGAGGAGCUCGAUGGAGAAGCUGCGACGGGGCUUAUAAACAAGUGUUAGUCCCCCUCGCUGGGCGAGGUGGGACUAAACUUAUCGUGCAACCCAGGAGGGGCUUUAGUCCCGGGUGGAGCCACGCCCCGGGACUAAAGCCCCUCGCCUGCCGCCUGCCGAGGAGGGGCUUUAGUCCCGAUGCGUGGCUCCACCCGGGACUAAAGGCCCCUGCUUCCCGCCUUCUGGUCUGCCCGAAAAGAGGCCUUUAGUCCCGGGUCGUGGCUCCACCCGGGACUAAAGGGGGUCUUUAGUCCCGGUUGGAGCCACGCACCGGGGCUAAAGAUCCACCUAUAUAAGCGGGACUUUGAAAAAUUCCCACCCAAAUCGUCCAUUUCUCUUCUUCUUCCUCUCGUUCUCUGCCCGGCGCGGCACAGCGACGAACUCGACGACGCCGUCACGCUGCCCACCGUNNNNNNNNNNNNNNNNNNNNNNNNNNNNNNNNNNNNNNNNNNNNNNNNNNNNNNNNNNNNNNNNNNNNNNNNNNNNNNNNNNNNNNNNNNNNNNNNNNNNGAAUUCAAAUUCUAUUCAUACUUCAAUUCGCUAUAACUUGCGUUGUAGUGCUGCAUUUCAAGAAAUUCUUUCUACAAAUAAAUUCUUAUGCCUUAUAUUAUUUGUCAAACAACAUUCAUGUUGUUCUCCCAAUAUUUUUUAUCAUAUCCCAUAGUGUAUGCAAGUCGAGCUUAUAUAGCGAUAGUUGAUCAUCCUUUGACUCUUUUGAGUUGACCCCUUUCACCUUUCCUUUACAACACACCUAGGACCUAUUUUUUUAUUAAACCUUAGUAUGUUGUUAUUUUGCACAAAGACAUGUUUUGUUCUUAUGUUCUUUUGGUUCUUCCUUUUUGGCAUGAAUGUUUAUUGAAUGCUAUUCGUUUACGAUAGAUUGCUUGGAGUGUGGCGAGUAGAAUUAUCAAGAUUUUGAGAGCGACUAUCUUCAUCAAGUAAUACCAGGCAAGUCAUUUGAUCAUGUAUCACCUAUGUUUUAUGCAUCGUAGUUCUACCAUCCUAUGCCCAAUUUGCAUGCUGACUAGGUACUUGGAAAUUAUGGUUACAUAUUGUAGUAUCAUGUGGUAGGCACCCAACAACCCCAUUACUUGGCCCGGGACGACAAAUUUCAUAUUGCUAUGCUUGAGUAGACGGGAUUCUGGUUGAGAGUUUAUCACGAGUGAUGCGAUAAUAAUUUAAUAACCAAGACCGGUUAAGUCAAGACUUUUCAAGAUCUCGUGAUGCAAUGCAACUCUGGGUGAAGGACGGUUGAUCGGCUCCCUGGAGAAACCAGUGGAUGACCCGGGAUGCUGGAGACGUGCCAUGACAUCUUGCGGAAAGCUUCACCCAGGCUCAAAGAGACGGACGGAUAUUUUCAAGACCCAAGGCUUACCUGCACAACCACAAGUCAUUAUGGGCUCUGUCUUGGUUGGACAACGCGGCGACUCUGGACAGGCGGUGCCAGCAGAUGUAGAAGAACGGUAGGAUUGGAUGGGCACCGACAGGGAUUCAGAGGGACCCGUUGAAAGACCAUGUUUUGAUCAUCCGGUCUUCAAACACCCUGAAGUGCGAGGACAUACAUGGAGGCGAUCAAAUCUUGUGGGGAACGUUUGCAAAACUCUCCAGAGUACUCAAACCUAAUCGAUUAGCCGUGUCCACGGUCAUGGACAACUUGAGCCAAAGGAACUGAAGUUAUCUGAAAUUCUCAACACCAUUAUAUAUAUUUGAUGUGGGUAAUAUUGUUAACUUGGGUAUGAGAAAUGGUUGGCGGAACCAUCUUAUUAAAAACAGCAGCGUAGUAAUAUUUUGCUUUUUAGCCCCUCUCUUGUUGUAGGAGAAAACUUUGCUUUCCGCUAAAAACUUACAACCCCACCUGCCAUAUAUGCAUAUAGUAUAGAUGAUAUUUUACCCCCCUCUCAUAUGUGACUUGCCGGCAUAUUCAANNNNNNNNNNNNNNNNNNNNNNNNNNNNNNNNNNNNNNNNNNNNNNNNNNNNNNNNNNNNNNNNNNNNNNNNNNNNNNNNNNNNNNNNNNNNNNNNNNNNGUGCCUUCAAGGCAGGCGUGCGGUACAGAGAUCUGUACCUGAAGUUCGGUCGAACAGGCGACAUCUCCAUGAGCAAGAUGAUGGAGAUAGCCGCACGCUAUGCAAAUGGCGAAGAAGAGGACGCAUAUGUAGCGGCAAGCAUAAGGCAGUCGCCGAUGGAGACGGGAACAACAAUCGGAAGCAGAAGCAGAAAGCUCCGUCCACUCCGCAGGCAGAGGCAGCAGCCGUUACCAAUGCCAAGUUCAAGGGUAAGGGGAAAGCUUAGUACACCCCUAAGAAGAGACAGUUCGGGAAUUCCAUCCUGGAUCAGCCAUGUCCAAUCCACACGAAGAUGGACGAAGAAGGCAACGCCAUAUUCCCGAAGCACACCACUCGGCAAUGUCACCUCCUGAUCCAAGGGUUCGGCGAAGGGCAGCCGAGUGAAAAGGACAACGAGCAGGAUGAUGAGGACAAGGAGGAUCCAUUCCCCCAAGUCCAUGCAACAUUGAUGAUUUUUGCUGACGUGGAAAGCAAGAGUCGAUUGAAGCUGGUGAACACGGAGGUGAACAUGGCAACCCCAACCAACCCCACGUUCCUCAAAUGGUCUCAGACUGCGAUCACCUUCGAUCAGUCGGAUCAUCCAGCACACGUGCCCACCCCAGGGAUGCAAGCUCUGGUCGUCAACCCGGUGGUGGAAGGAGUCCGACUGCACAAAGUCCUCAUGGACGGCGGCAGCGGCUUGAACAUCAUGUACGCCGACACUCUCGAGGGGAUGGGCAUUCCGAUUUCCAAACUUAGCGAGAGCAGCAUGCAGUUCCACGGAGUCAUCCUAGGACGAAAGGCCAAGUCACUCGGCCAGAUCGCGUUGGACGUCGUUUUCGGCUCCGACAAGAACUUCCACAAGGAAAAGCUGACAUUCGAGGUGGUGGACUUCCAGAGUGCAUACCAUGCGAUUCUGGGCCGUCCGGCGUAUGCGCGUUUCAUGGCCCGUCCAUGUUACGUGUAUUUGAAGCUGAAGAUGCCAGGUCCCAAAGGUGUGAUCACGAUCACAGGCAAUCGGUAGCGGGCCGAGGAGUGUCUGCAGCAGGGGCCAAGGAUUGCCGAUCAGCAAAUGGCUAUCCUCGAGCUGGAUGAGUACAAGAAGACAGCCGACCCCGCUGACUUGAUGCGUUCGAAGAAGCCAGCUUCGGAGUCCGCAUUCCAGUCGGCAGGAGACACGAAGAAAGUCAGCAUCCACCCGACGGACGACGCCGCUGCCCCGACAAACAUCUCCACCACCCUUGAUCCAAAAUAGGAAGCCGAGCUCAUCCAAUUCCUCCGUGAGAACUGGGACAUUUUUGCAUGGAAGCCCGCUGACAUGCCAGGUGUACCCAGGGAGUUGGCUGAGCACCGACUGCAUGUGGAUCCUGCUGCUCGGCCCGUCCGAGAACGCCUGCGUCAGUCCGCCGCGCACAAAAGGUAGGCAAUCGGAGAGGAGGUGGCUAAACUUUUGGCAGACAACUUCAUUCGCGAGGUACACCACUCCGAGUGGCUCGCCAAUGUUGUCAUGGUGCCCAAGAAGGACAAGUCCCUCCGUAUGUUCAUCGACUUCAAGCAUCUCAGUAAGGUCUACCCGAAAGAUCAUUUCCCGCUCCCCCGCAUUGAUCAAAUUGUCGAUUCGACUGCGGGUUGCGAUCAUUUAUCAUUCCUUGAUUCCUAUUCGGGCUAUCAUCAGAUCCGUCUAUAUGGUCCGGAUGAAUUAAAAACAGCCUUCCUCACCCCAUUCGGGUGCUUCUGCUACAUCACUAUGCCAUUCGGUUUGAAGAAUGCAGGAGCAACUUUUAUGUGCAUGACCCAAAAAUGCCUCCUUGACCAGAUCGGUCGAAAUGUGGAGGCAUAUAUGGACGAUAUCGUAGUCAAGUCACGCAAAGGUUCUGACCUGCUGACUGACUUGGCAGAAACAUUCGCCAACCUGCGUAGGUACGAUAUCAAGCUCAACCCAGCCAAGUGUUCAUUCGGCAUUCCUAGCGGGAAGUUACUCGGUUUCUUCGUUUCCGAACGAGGGAUCGAUGUCAACCCCGAAAAGAUCGGGACCAUCGUCCGAAUGGAACGGCCGGUCAGAAUACAUGAUGUUCAAAGGCUCACAAGUUGCCUAGCGGCUUUGAGCAGGUUUAUCACUCGACUCGGCGAGAAGGCGCUACCUCUGUACCGACUCAUGAAGAAAUCAGAUACUUUCGAGUGGACAGACGAAGCCCAAAUUGCAUUCGACAACCUCAAAGCCCUGCUUUCCACCCAGCCGGUUCUUACUGCCCCGCUCAGCAAAGAACCCCUUCUUCUGUACAUCGCGGUUACAAAUCAAGUCGUCAGCAUUGUUCUCACAGUCGAACGCGAAGAAGAAGGCAAAGCGUACAAGGUUCAGCGGCCAGUAUAUUAUGUCUCCGAAGUCCUCACUCCUUCCAAGCAGGGGUAUCCCCAUUAUCAAAAGCUUAUUUAUGGGAUAUACAUGACUGCAAAGAAGGUGGCUCAUUAUUUCCAAGACCACUCGGUGUGUGUCAUUUCUGAUGCUCCGUUGUUGGAAAUCCUCCACAAUCGGGACGCAUCAGGCCGAGUGGCGAAGUGGGCAAUGGAGAUGUUAUACUGCGACAUCAAGUUCGAAGCCAAGAAGGCUAUAAAGUCUCAAGCUCUGGCUGACUUCAUAGCAGAAUGGGUAGAACAACAACAACCAACUCACAUCUACUCGGCUCAUUGGACCAUGUUCUUCGAUGGGUCCAAGAUGUUGAAUGGCUCCGGCGCUGGCGUAGUGAUCAUAUCGCCAAAGGGUGAUAAACUCAAGUAUGUGUUGCAGAUACAUUUCGAUUCUUCCAACAAUGAGGCAGAGUACGAAGCUCUCCUUUAUGGAUUGCGCAUGGCCAUCACACUCGGCGUCCGUCGCCUGAUGGUCUAUGGCGAUUCAGAUCUGGUGGUUAAUCAAGUGAUGAAAGAAUGGGAUGUAAGGAACCCCACCAUGACCGCAUACUGCAACGCAGUAAGGAAGCUCGAGAAGAAGUUUGAAGGUCUGGAACUUCACCAUGUUCCCCGACUGAAAAACCAAGCAGCUGAUGAGUUGGCAAAACUCGGAUCCACUCGAAGACCAGUCCCGAGUGAUGUCUGCCUCGAGCACCUACAUCUCCCUUCGGUGAAAGAAGAUCCUUUCACAGAAGAACCGGUACAACCGAAGAGCUCAACAGAUCCGACUGAAGUCGAGGUCCCUGCUAUGGUUGAUUUGAUCAUGGAGAUUCUUGCUCUCAUCCCCGAUUGGACUGUGCCGUUCAUUGCGUACAUCCUGAGGCAAGAAUUACGAGAAGACGAAGUCCAAGCUAGGCAGAUCGUCCGCAGGUCAAAGUCCUUCACCGUCAUUGAUGGCCAGUUGUACAAGGAAAGUGUUUCACGCGUCCUUUAGCGGUGCAUCUCCCAUGAAGAGGGACAGUUAAUCCUGGAAGAAAUUCACUCGGGAACGUGCGGCCAUCAUGCUUCCUCAAGAGCAAUCGUCGCCAAAGCAUUUAGAGCUGGUUUCUUCUGGUUGCACGCGAAUGAAAUGGCAAAAGAUAUGGUCGACCGAUGCGAAGGCUGUCAGUUCUAUUCGAACAAGUCCCAAAAGCCAACAUCUGCGCUGAAGACAAUCCCUCUUGUUUGGCCGUUCGCAGUGUGGGGAUUAGAUACAGUCGGACCAUUCAGAACAGGCCAAGGGGGAUUCACUCAUCUGUUGGUAGUAGUCGACAAGUUCACCAAGUGGAUUGAAGCCAAGCCCAUCAAGAAGCUCGACGCCCUUACGGCCAUCAAAUUUUUCAGAGACAUCAUCGCCAGAUUCGGGGUUCCGCAGAGCAUAAUCAUCGACAAUGGCAUAAACUCUGACUCGGACAGAUUCAAAGGUUUUCACACAGGUCAAGGUAUCCGAGUGGAUUUUGCAUCUGUGGCGCAUCCCCAAACAAACGGGCAAGCAGAGCGGGCGAAUGGGCUUAUUCUUCAAGGGUUGAAGCCUCGACUCCUGCGAGAAGUUGGACAUGCCGCCGGCGCAUGGGUCACCGAACUGCCUUCGGUGUUGUGGGGCCUCCGCACAACUCCGAAUAGAUCUACAGGGCGAUCCCCGUUCUUCCUCGUUUAUGGAGCAGAGGCGGUCCUUCCGAGUGACUUGCUUCACAACUCUCCACGAGUCGAACUCUUCUCCGAAGCCGAAGCAGAGCAAGCUAGGCAAGACGGAGUGGAUCUUCUCGAAUAAGAGCGCGAGAUGGCACUGACCCGCUCAACAAUUUAUCAACAAGAUCUGCGGCGAUUUCACGCGCGACACGUCAGGAGUCACACAUUCCAAGCAGGCGACCUGGUGCUCCGAGUGGAUCAGCAGAGACCACACAAGUUGGCUCCCGCCUGGGAAGGACCCUUCAUCAUCUCUAAGGUGUUGAACAAUGGGGCGUAUCGACUUUACAACCUCGACAGGGAAACGGACGAGCCGCGGGCGUGGAACAGAGAUCUCCUGAAGCGCUUCUACACAUGACCGCCGACGAGGACAAUGUAAAGAACAAGUAUCAUUGAAGUAAUACAAAGCAGAUUGAUUUCUUGCAGGUUCAAAAUUCUUCCACGUUUGCAGACUCCGGUCUAAAUUUUUUUUUCUNNNNNNNNNNNNNNNNNNNNNNNNNNNNNNNNNNNNNNNNNNNNNNNNNNNNNNNNNNNNNNNNNNNNNNNNNNNNNNNNNNNNNNNNNNNNNNNNNNNNGAGAAAUUCUUCUUCGUCAACAUCGCCAGGCAAGUCAUUUGAUCAUGUAUCACCUAUGUUUUAUGCAUCGUAGUUCUACCAUCCUAUGCCCAUUUGCAUGCUGAGUAGGUACUUGGAAAUUAUGGUUACAUAUUGUAGUAUCAUGUGGUAGGCACCCAACAACCCCGUUACUUGGCCCGGGACGACCAAUUUCGUAUUGCUAUGCUUGAGUAGACGGGAUUCUGGUUGAGAGUUUAUCACGAGUGAUGCGAGAGUAAUUUAAUAACCAAGACUGGUUAAGUCAAGACUGUUCAAGACCUCGUGAUGCAAUGCAACUCUGGGUGCAGGACGGUUGAUCGGCUCCCUAGAGAAACCAGUGGAUGACCCGGGAUGCUGGAGAUGGCCAUGACAUCUUGCGGAAAGCUUCACCCAGGAUCAAAGAGACGGACGGAUAUUUUCAAGACCCAAGGCUUACCUGCACAGCCACAAGUCAUUAUGGGCUCUGGCUUGGUUGGACAAUGCGGCGACUCUCGACAGGCGGUGCUAGCAGAUGUAGAAGAACGGUAGGAUUGCAUGGGCACCAAUAGGGAUUCAGAGAGACCCGUUGAAAGACCAUGUUUUGAUCAUCCGGUCUUCAAACACCCUGAAGUGCGAGGACAUACUCGGAGGUGAUCAAAUCUUGUGGGGAACGUGUGCAAAACUCUGCAGAGUACUCAAACCUAAUCGAUUAGCCGUGUCCACGGUCAUGGACAACUUGAGCCAAAGGAACUGAGGUUAUCUGAAAUUCUCAACACAAAUAAUAAUAUUGAUGUGGGUAUUAUUGACAACAUGGCUACGAGAAUUGGUUGGUGGAACCAUCUCGUUAACAACCAACAAUGUAGUAACAUUUUGCUUUUAGCCCUCUCUUGAUGUAGGAGAAAACUUGCUUUUUCGCUAAAAACUUAUAGCCCCACCUGCCAUAUAUGCAUAUAGUAUAGAUGAUUAUUUUUCACCCCUCUCUUAUGUGACUUGCCGGCAUAUUCAAUAUGCUGACCUACACGGCUGCAACGUCUUAUGUUGCAGAUAUUUUUCUUCGACGAGUAAGAGUACGAUUCAGGGUUACGGUCUACACUCAACUUGCCGUUGGUGUUUAUUGGGACUCCACUCCCUUGACUGCUUCCGCUGAGAUAUUUAAGGUAUAUAUCAGUUUUNNNNNNNNNNNNNNNNNNNNNNNNNNNNNNNNNNNNNNNNNNNNNNNNNNNNNNNNNNNNNNNNNNNNNNNNNNNNNNNNNNNNNNNNNNNNNNNNNNNNCGGCCAUGGAAGUUGCAGGUUCGCUGGAGAAAGGAAGGUCACGGGAGAAUAGAGAAGGAAGGAAGAAGAAGAGGGAAGGAAAGAGAGAGAAGAAAAAAAGAAAGAAAAGAAAAGGGGAAAGAAAAAGAAAAAAAAUAAGGAAAGAAGAGGUGCGCUCGAGGUGCUGGUCGGUUGGGCAGGGGAUUUGGAUUCGCAGCGAUGGGGAUCUCGCCCGAGGAAAAAUAUCUCCCGUUUUUUUCUUUUUUUUAACAGAAACUAAAACGAAAAAAAGGAAACAAAUAAAAUAAUUAAUAUAGGGUAUUAUAUACCAACAUGAUCAGAAAAAUAUCCUCUACUCGAUUAACAUUUUUCCAAGGCAAAAAUAAAAACUUCAAAAAAUGUUUUUCAGAAAAAUAUCCCUUAUGCUAUAUUUUCUUUUUGCAAUUAUUUUCACGAUAAAACUUUGGCUUUCAUGGCUCAAAAUAUUUCAAAAAUGCCUCACAUUUUGGAGGGUCAUUUUCCUCCGCUCUCUCUUGCGUGCAAGAGAUUAUUUCCCGGCAUUUUCUCGGGGAAGAAAAAAUAUAGAAGCAAGGGCAAAAUUUUGAAAGGAUUUCAAAUGCAAACUCCGUUCAAAUUUUCUAUAGUUGAAGAAGUCAUGUCAUCUUCUCUCUUUGCUUUUAAAAGAUUGAAUUUGAAUUCAUCGGAGAUGGGGAAUGUCAUUUUAUUCCCUCUCAUUCAAAAGUUUUUGAAAAGUUUCAGAUUUCACUCANNNNNNNNNNNNNNNNNNNNNNNNNNNNNNNNNNNNNNNNNNNNNNNNNNNNNNNNNNNNNNNNNNNNNNNNNNNNNNNNNNNNNNNNNNNNNNNNNNNNUUGCCUCGAUCCAUUUUAUCCUUUCGACCAGCGAUCUGAGUGAAUAUACUAGUGAAACGAACCGUCAGGGACAGAGUGCUUCUACGGAAUCUUUUGAUGUGACCGGUCAAACUGACAACGGUGGAUUUUCCGGGGUCCUCAAAUUUAGGUUGCCGCACGCUCAGCAGGGAUGACGACAUCGCCAUCGAGUAGUUUCUGCCGCCUCAAUUACCGCGCCGUUAUCUUCUCCACUAACAUCGUAGCAGCCGGUCGGGGGGGGGNNNNNNNNNNNNNNNNNNNNNNNNNNNNNNNNNNNNNNNNNNNNNNNNNNNNNNNNNNNNNNNNNNNNNNNNNNNNNNNNNNNNNNNNNNNNNNNNNNNNNNNNNNNNNNNNNNNNNNNNNNNNNNNNNNNNNNNNNNNNNNNNNNNNNNNNNNNNNNNNNNNNNNNNNNNNNNNNNNNNNNNNNNNNNNNNNNNNNNNNNNNNNNNNNNNNNNNNNNNNNNNNNNNNNNNNNNNNNNNNNNNNNNNNNNNNNNNNNNNNNNNNNNNNNNNNNNNNNNNNNNNNNNNNNNNNNNNNNNNNNNNNNNNNNNNNNNNNNGGGGGGGGGGGGGGGGUAAGAUUUCGGGGUCACCUGUUAGCGACUCAGUAGGAAGCUUAUUUAAGCCCUUCCGGCGGGGAUCUCUUGUUGCGCUGCUCUUCUUCCUCGCGUUAACAUCGCUCCUAUCGUAGCUCCUUGCGCGCCUCAAGCCUCCUCCUUCCUCUCCUCCUCUGCGGAUCUGUUGCCUUCACCAUGACGAAGGGGCAGACCAGCAAACUCGAAGCGCAGAAGAAGAAGAAGAAGANNNNNNNNNNNNNNNNNNNNNNNNNNNNNNNNNNNNNNNNNNNNNNNNNNNNNNNNNNNNNNNNNNNNNNNNNNNNNNNNNNNNNNNNNNNNNNNNNNNNACGGGAUCACAUCAUUAGGAGAAUCAUGUGAUGGACUAGACCCAAACUAAUAGACGUAGCAUGUUGAUCGUGUCAUUUUGUUGCUACUGUUUUCUGUGUGUCAAGUAUUUGUUCCUAUGACCAUGAGAUCAUAUAACUCACUGACACCGGAGGAAUGCGUUGUGUGUAUCAAACGUCGCAACGUAGCUGGGUGACCAUAAAGAUGCUCUACAGGUAUCUCCGAAGGUGUUAGUUGAGUUAGUACGGAUCGAGACUGGGAUUUGUCACUCCGUGUGACGGAGAGGUAUCUCGGGGCCCACUCGGUAAUACAACAUCACACACAAGCCUUGCAAGCAAUGUGACUUAGUGUAAGUUGCAGGAUCUUGUAUUACGGAACGAGUAAAGAGACUUGCUGGUAAACGAGAUUGAAAUAGGUAUACGGAUACUGACGAUCGUAUCUCGGGCAAGUAACAUACCGAAGGACAAAGGGAAUGACAUUCGGGAUUAUAUGAAUCCUUGGCACUGAGGUUCAAACGAUAAGAUCUUCGUAGAAUAUGUAGGAUCCAAUAUGGGCAUCCAGGUCCCGCUAUUGGAUAUUGACCGAGGAGUCUCUCGGGUCAUGUCUACAUAGUUGUCGAACCCGCAGGGUCUGCACACUUAAGGUUCGACGUUGUUAUAUGCGUAUUUGAGUUAUAUGGUUGGUUACCGAAUGUUGUUCGGAGUCCCGAAUGAGAUCACGGACGUCACGAGGGUUUCCGAAAUGGUCCGGAAACGAAGAUUGAUAUAUAUGAUGACCUCAUUUGAUUACCGAAAGGUUUUCGGAGUUACCCGGAAUGUACCGGGAAUGACGAAUGGGUUCUGGGUGUUCACCCGGGGGGGGGGGAGGGGCAACCCACCCCGGGGAAGCCCAUAGGCCUUGGGGGUGGCGCACCAGCCCUUAGUGGGCUGGUGGGACAGCCCAAGAAGGCCCUAUGCGCCAUAGGAAGAAAAUCAAAGAGAAAAGAAAAAAAGGAGGAGGUGGGAAAGGGAAGAAGGACUCCACCUUCCAAACCAAGUUGGAUUCGGUUUGGAAGGGGAGACCUUCCCCCCUUGGCUCGGCCGACCCCCUUGGGGAUCCUUGAGCCUCAAGGCAAGGCUCCCCCUCUUCCCCCUAUAUAUACGGAGGUUUUAGGGCUGAUUUGAGACGUUUUUUCACGGCAGCCCGACCACAUACCUCCACGAUUUUUCCUCUAGAUCGCGUUUCUGCGGAGCUCGGGCGGAGCCCUGCUGAGAUAAGAUAACCACCAACCUCCGGAGCGACGUCACGCUGCCGGAGAACUCCUCUACCUCUCCGUCUCUCUUGCUGGAUCAAGAAGGCCGAGAUCAUCGUCGAGCUGUACGUGUGCUGAACGCGGAGGUGUCGUCCGUUCGGCACUAGAUCGUGGGACUGAUCGCGGGACGGUUCGCGGGGCGGAUCAAGGGACGUCAGGACAUUCCACUACAUCAACCGCGUUCACUAACGCUUCUGCUGUACAGUCUACAAGGGUACGUAGAUCACACAUCCCCUCUCGUGGAUGGACAUCACCAUGAUAGGUCUUCGUGCGCGUAGGAAAAUUUUUGUUUCCCAUGCGACGCUCCCCAACAGUGGCAUCAUGAGCUAGGUUCAUGCGUAGAUGUAUUCUCGAGUAGAACACAAAAGUUUUUGUGGGUGGUGAUGUGCGUUUUGCUGCCCUCCUUAGUCUUUUCUUGAUUCCGCGGUAUUGUUGGAUUGAAGCGGCUUGGACCGACAUUACUCGUACGCUUACGAGAGACUGGUUUCAUCGCUACGAGUAACCCCGUUGCUCAAAGAUGGCUGGCAAGUGUCAGUUUCUCCAACUUUAGUUGAAUCGGAUUUGACCGAGGAAGUCCUUCGAUGAGGUUAAAUAGCAACUCAUAUAUCUCCGUUGUGGUGUUUGCGUAAGUAAGAUGCGAUCCUACUAGAUACCCAUGGUCACCACGUAAAACAUGCAACAACAAAAUUAGAGGACGUCUAACUUGUUUUUGUAGGAUAUGCUUGUGAUGUGAUAUGGCCAACGAUGUGAUGUGAUAUAUUGGAUGUAUGAGAUGAUCAUGUUGUAAUAGUUAAUAUUGACUUGCACGUCGAUGGUACGGCAACCGGCAGGAGCCAUAGGGUUGUCUUUAAACUAACGUUUGUGCUUGCAGAUGCGUUUACUAUAUUGCUAGGACGUAGCUUUAGUAGUAAUAGUAUGAGUAGCACGACAACCCCGAUGGCGACACGUUGAUGGAGAUCAUGAUGAUGGAGAUCAUGGUGUGACGCUGGUGACAAGAAGUUCGUGCCGGUGCUUUGGUGAUGGAGAUCAAGAAGCACAUGAUUAUGGCCAUAUCAUGUCACUUAUGAAUUGCAUGUGAUGUUAAUCCUUUUUGCACCUUAUCUUGCUUAGAACGACGGUAGCAUUAUGAGGUGAUCUCUCACUAAAAUUUCAAGACGAAAUUGUGUUCUCCCCGACUGUGCACCGUUGCGACAGUUCUUCGUUUCGAGACACCACGUGAUGAUCGGGUGUGAUAGACUCAACGUUCACAUACAACGGGUGCAAAACAGUUGCACACGCAGAACACUCGGGUUAAGCUUGACGAGCCUAGCAUGUGCAGACAUGGCCUCGGAACACAUGAGACCGAAAGGUCGAGCAUUAAUCGUAUAGUUGAUAUGAUUAGCAUAGAGAUGCUUACCACUGAAACUAUUCUCGACUCACGUGAUGAUCGGACUUGAGAUAGUGGAUUUGGAUCAUGUACCACUCAAAUGACUAGAGAGAUGUACUUUUUGAGUGGGAGUUCUUAAGUAAUAUGAUUAAUUGAACUAAUUAUCAUGAACAUAGUCUAAUGGUCUUUGCGAAUACGAUGUAGCUUGCGCUAUAGCUCUACUGUUUUAAUAUGUUCCUAGAGAAAAUUUAGUUGAAAGUUGAUAGUAGCAAACUUUGUAGAGGAUUGUCCUCAUUGCUGCGCAGAAGGCUUAUGUCCUUAAUGCACCACUCGGUGUGCUGCACCUCGAGCGUCAUCUGUGGAUGCUGUGAACAUCCGACAUACACGUUUCUGAUGACUACACGAUAGUUUAGUGCAAAAUACUUAAUGGCUUAGAAGCAAGGCGCCGAAGACGUUUUGAGACGUCACGGAACAUAAGUGAUGUUCUAAAGAGAUUAAAUUGUGAUUUCAUGCUUGUGCCCUUGUUAAGAGGUACGAGACCUCCGCCA
rnacentral:lncRNA from 1 species